GAUGAACGCUGGCGGCGUGCCUAAUACAUGCAAGUCGAGCGAACAGACGAGGAGCUUGCUCCUUCGACGUUAGCGGCGGACGGGUGAGUAACACGUAGGUAACCUACCUAUAAGACUGGGAUAACUUCGGGAAACCGGAGCUAAUACCGGAUAAUAUUUCGAACCGCAUGGUUCGAUAGUGAAAGAUGGCUUUGCUAUCACUUAUAGAUGGACCUGCGCCGUAUUAGCUAGUUGGUAAGGUAACGGCUUACCAAGGCAACGAUACGUAGCCGACCUGAGAGGGUGAUCGGCCAAAAUGGAACUGAGACACGGUCCAGACUCCUACGGGAGGCAGCAGUAGGGAAUCUUCCGUAAUGGGCGAAAGCCUGACGGAGCAAAGCAGCGUGAGUGAUGAAGGUCGUCGGAUCGUAAAACUCUGUGAUUAGGGAAGAACAAAUGUGUAAGUAACUAGGCACGUCUGGAAGGUACCUAAUCAGAAAGACACGGCGAACUACGGG
rnacentral:rRNA from 1 species